UUCCUUGAACCGCAUGGUUCAAGGAUGAAAGACGGUUUCGGCUGUCACUUCACAGAUGGACCCGCGGCGCAUUAGCUAGUUGGUGGGGUAAUGGCUCACCAAGGCGACGAUGCGUAGCCGACCUGAGAGGGUGAUCGGCCACACUGGGACUGAGACACGGCCCAGACUCCUACGGGAGGCAGCAGUAGGGAAUCUUCCGCAAUGGACGAAAGUCUGACGGAGCAACGCCGCGUGACGUGAUGAAGGUUUUCGGAUCGUAAAGCUCUGUUGUUAGGGAAGAACAAGUGCGAGAGUAACUGCUCGCACCUUGACGGUACCUAACCAGAAAGCGCACGGCUAACUACGUGCCAGCAGCCGCGGUAAUACGUAGGUGGCAAGCGUUGUCCGGAAUUAUUGGGCGUAAAGGGCUCGCAGGCGGUUUCUUAAGUCUGAUGUGAAAGCCCCCGGCUCAACCGGGGAGGGUCAUUGGAAACUGGGAAACUUGAGUGCAGAAGAGGAGAGUGGAAUUCCACGUGUAGCGGUGAAAUGCGUAGAGAUGUGGAGGAACACCAGUGGCGAAAGGCGACUCUCUGGUCUGUAACUGACGCU
rnacentral:rRNA from 1 species